CACUUUCCCUCGUCUCGCCAGAUUGGAUUAGGGUAAAAGUAAUCUCAUUCACGCCGCCGUCACCGCCGCCCCUCAACUCUCCUCGAUUGCUCGAUUCGACCAGACGCGCUCCCAGGCGGCUAUUACUCCGAAUCUCAAUCUGAUAAUCUGUAGCCUCGUUGGAGUAGCCUCUGUUCUGCUCCAUCAGUUUAUCUCCACAAACGGCUGCUCCAUCAGACAUAUGGCUACAUCGUUUUGUGGGGUUGGAAUGAAGAGCAAGUGGAUGCUGGUGAAUUGAUCAGGAGGAGCCGUGGGGAACCAGUGAUCAUGCUUGCUAUGGGGUGCAGUUUUAAGAUGCAGGAUUGUAUACCUCUUUAUGAUCUGCGCUUUCAUUUCGGUUCAGUGUUACACAAUGGUUGUGUGUUGUUUCACUUUCAUGCUUUGCUGCUGUCUUUGGUUCUAACUUUUUAAUUAAUUUGUAUUCUGGAGGUAUGGUUAUACUGACGGGGAGCUACGGGUCGAAGUUUUCAAUCAGUCUUGCUAAUCCAGGUGUAUCUGGCUUCCGUAACAAGUAAUUGUUGUUCUUAUCUGUUGAAGUGGCGUUAGUAUAAGCAGUGAUGUGUUCUUGCUGCUUGCUGACAGGGACCUGCAUUUUAGCUCCACUGGGAUGGAAGACGCCACAGUGGCUUAUUUAGCUCAUGUCAUUCCACGUGUGUUUAUGGUAUGCACAAGGCCUUCAGAUGCAAGAUAACUGUGGAGGCUAUACCAUCUAACCAAAAUUAUCGUGUGACCAGUAUAGCUGGAGUUUUUUUUUUUUUUGAGAAAUACCAGUGUAGCUGGAAGGCAGUAAGAUGGCGGUGGUUAUCAGUGUUCAAAGCUGGGCUGUGGGAGUUGAUCAAAGAAAUCACAGCCCACUUUUUCCUUACAUGCCACACAAGUAGAAAUCCCCCCUACGAAAUCCCUGUGGCACAACCAGCGCAGCGAACCGCGCCGCACUCGAAGAAAUCAUUGCUGAAUUAGAUACAGAAGGAUCAUGUGAGUGACUCCGGUGAAUGUGCCUAAAUAUCUCUACUGGCUUCCGCCUUGGCAUGUAUAAAUUCUACUGUAUGAUGCAUUGUCACUUUCAGGAAGAUGUAAAAUAUUGACAUGAUGUUGCAAGGCAACACGUUCUUCCCG